GGAGGUAGAUGAGUCUCUGGUGGGCUCCCCGGUCUUCAAAACCGCGCGUGGUGCUGUAGAACAGUGCUGGGUGGGUUCGAUUCCCACGUACCUCCGCCA
rnacentral:tRNA from 1 species